GGGGGAGUCCGCUGUAAACAUUUCAUUUUAUUUCCAUGCAUUUAACAUUUCUUUGAUCCUUUCACUCUUUUUCCCCCCUUUUUGCCAGUUUUGUUUAGGCCUCGCGCACGUUUGCCGGGGCGAACAACACCGCGAACUAUUCCACGCACUCAAACGCUUAAAGGAAAUUAUUUGCGACCUUUUUUUUUCAUCGCCGAAAAAAAGGAAAGUUGGAAGUUACGGAUUGAUUCGUUACACCUUACUAGGAAGUGAACACUUUGCACGGGAAGGGGAGGGACUCCUGGAACAAGUUGAGUAUGACCGUAACAAGCCUCUCUACAACGCUUACACAUUACUUAUUCAUCGAUUGCAAAACAUCCACAAAUUAAAUAACGAGUCCACGGUGUUAGACAUUUCGGAUCCUAUUAGGUUAAGACCUGUAAUAAAUCCACCGCAUAUCUGCUCUUCAGUACUUUGUUGACACCGGUGAACCUGGCACCCCCCAAAAUCAGACUUAAAUCUCAACUUUGUUUUUGUCUUUAUACCAGCGUUGACGCAAUGUCCACUCUUUCUAGAAGUCGGCUAGUGGGUGGGUGCGUUUUUGAAGUCGCUCGGAAGGGGAACGCGAGAAAUCCGAGUGAUUUUUUGAGGUGGCCUUUGCUCGCUCCGGUCGCCCGAUGUUUCUAACGGAUUUUAAGGUUCUUCGUCGCGCGGGGAUUCUGCUGCUAUUUCAGUGGAUCAUUAAGUUUGUGGACCGACGCGAGAGCUUCGCCUUGCAUAUCGCACCCCGGACCGCUCACGGAUGUUACAAGACUGGAACUAAAAAAGCAAGGGAGAUUUGAGGUGAUGUUGCCAUUCUCCAAAAAGGACAAUAUUGCAGGUCAGAGGUCAGCAACACUUGUAUUUAGGAUAAUUUAAUAUUAUAUAUAUUUUUUGUAAAGCUGUACACUGUUCACAAUUGUACAUGAAGCCAUGCGGUUAUUGAUAGUGAUUAGUAUUUGGGUAUUAACCUCAGUACAGCUAAAAUUAUAACUGCACUUAAACGCAGCAACCCAAAUAGUAGUAAUAAUACACCACACCGGCUGUGCGGUGUAACCUUAAGUCUGCGAUCACGAUCAAAGCCAUUUCACAUGCCACCACUGCAAUUAUGUUUAUUAAAGCUAAUAUUACAACAUAUCUGCAUUCACUUAUAAAAAUGUAUACAGUAUUACACUUAUAUAGGCCUCGAUCACUGAAUCAGCUGUUGUUGCUAUUUAUUCUUGAGCUUUUUGUUAUAUUGCUAAUAAUUACCUUUUUUACAUUUUACUGUAUUAAUAAAAUACAUAUUACACAAUUAUAUUUUGACUUUAAAUAAUUGUUAAUUUUUAGUGUUUGAAAUAAUAUAGAAACA